UAAUACGGGGGGGACGAGCGUUGUUCGGAUUUACUGGGCGUAAAGGGCGCGUAGGCGGGUCUUCAAGUCGGAUGUGAAAACUACCAGCUUAACUGGUAGCCUGCAUUUGAUACUGUUGAUCUUGAGUACGGGAGAGGAGAGUGGAAUUCCAGGUGUAGCGGUGAAAUGCGUAGAUAUCUGGAAGAACACCAGUAGCGAAGGCGGCUCUCUGGACCGAUACUGACGCUCAAGCGCGAAGGCUUGGGGAGCAAACAGG
rnacentral:rRNA from 1 species